AUAAAACUGUUUCCUAGAUUUUUGGUGCAGAAUUAAAUUUUAGUUGCCCAUUGUGAAAGCUGCCUUAAUAACAUUGCCCUUUACGGACUGUUUCGUCUUACCUAUAUUUCUUGCCCAUUUCCCUGCCAGUAUUUCCUCUGCUCCUCUCAAAUCACAUUUUUGCAUUUGAAUUCAAGUCUCAGAGACCGCUUCUGGGAGAAAUACACAAAAACAACUCCCUAUUUUUGUUAUGAGAUGAGCAAUAGUUUAAUCUCAACCUUUACAAAGUCAUGAUAAGAAAAUCAUGGUUUAGUCACUCAUAUACAUAGAUGUUAAAAUUCUGAGCAAAAACUUAGCAAGAAAAAUUCAGCAACAUGUAGAGAGGAUAACACAAAAUCAUCAAGUUUUGUAUCUCAGGACUACAAGGUAGACUUAACACAUGAAUAGCAAUUAAUGUUAUUUGCUAUAUUAAAAUAUUAAGGAAAAUAAUUAUACACUAUAAUUGUUUAUUUAGAAAUAUAUAGUUAUAUAUAAGAAUAUAUAAUGCCACAAUUAUAUUAUUAAUUACAAAAUGAAGAAAAAAACUUUAAAAAUUUAAUAUGUAUUCAUGGAUUUAAAAUAUCUUAGCAAAUAGAAGAGAAAAAAUGUCCUCAAUUUGAUAAAGAAUAUCUUAAAAACCUAUAGCAACAAUGUACUUAGAGAGAUAAUAAUAGCUUUCUUUUUUAGAUCAAAAAUAUAAAAGGGUUUCUACUAUGACUAAUGCUACUCAUCAUUUUAUUGGAGAACCUAAACAGUGUAGUAGAGAAAUAAAAAGAACUAUAAGCUAUAGUGGUUGGGGUGGGGAGAGAAAGCAACAAAAUUUUAAUUAUUUGAAGGCAAUAGUUUGCAGAUAUAAAUUAAGUAGAUAGAUAAAUUAGAAGAAGGGAAGAUAAAAAUGUUGCUUCACAAAUAAUAUACAAAAGCAAAUUGUUUAUACAUAGGUACAAGAUUUAAAAAAUAAAAACUCAAACAAAAAUAUUUCAGUUAGGAAGACAUUUUUAAAACAUAAUGCACCAGAAAACAUCUAACCCUUAUGAAAAAAAUUAUAUAUUUUAUAGAGUGACAUUUUAAAUGACCUAAAUAAAUGAAGAGAUAUACCAUAUUCAUGAAUUGGAAGAUACGUGUAAAUAUGUCAAUUUUACACAAAUGUAUAUAUAGAUUUAUUCCAAUCCCAAUAAAAUCCCUAAGUUUGAUUUUUUAAGUUUGACCAACUAAGAUAUAAGUAAAUAAAUACACACACAGAGAUGGAGAGAGAGAGAGAGAGGCAGAAAGACAGAGAUGAAAACAGCUAAACUACUGUUAAAUAACAAAUUGGGAAAACAGGCUUUUUGGAUAUGAAAAAUGAUCUUAAAACCACUGUAACUAAGAUAAAGAUAAUCAGAUAGACCUGAGGAGCAUAACAGUGAUAAAACAGACCCACAUAAGCAUGGACACUUAAUAUAUGAAAUGUAUAUCAUAUAUGAAAACACUAAGGUGGCACCGCAGAUCAAAAGAAACAUUUCUGAAAAUUGGGUGUCCAUGUAGAAGAAAUAAAAUUGGGCUUCUACCUCCCACCACACAUGCAAAUCAAUUCCAGCUGAAUUAAAGACCAAAAUGUGAGAGGUAAAACCAUAAAGUGUUUAGAAAAUAUAGGAGAAUGUCUUCAUUUCUUUAGGGUAUCAAAGACUUCUUAAAAGUCAUAAAAUUUUUGUCAAAGACAUAAAAUUCUAACCAUAAAAAAAAGAAAAAAAGAGAUUGAGAGAAAGUGGAGGGGUGGAGAAGAAGGAAACGAGGGAGGAAAGAAAAAAGAAAUCAUGUAAAAUUAAAGAUUUCUAGUGUCCAUAAAUUUUAAUGCUAUAAAAGUGUCGGAAGUCUUUGGUUUUCAUCAGAAUAAUUUCCUCUGCUUUUUUUUUCUGCUAUAGGAAAUUAAAUAAAAUAUUAGUGACACUAAGAAAUGGUUUUUAUGUGAACUUCUGAGUUGUCUAAACCGUUAAGAGGAAAGUGUGGCCUUUAUAUAGCUGAUAUCUAUUGCUUUAGUCCACUGAGAAUACAUUUUAAGAAGCCUUAUAAUUUAAAAUGGAUUUAUUUUCAACUAUUAUUUCUUUUGAAUUAAAAUCUUUUCUAAGUAGUUCUUAUUUUUCAUUUUCUCACAACAUUUUGUGAAUUUGUGCUAUCAUUUGAGAACAAUUUAGAAACAUUUUUUAAAAACAAAGAAUUGGGGAUGCAGAAAUAAUGUAAAAGUAGAAACACAGCCAUAUAUGAUUAUAAUUUCUGUCAUAACAUUAUUAUUUUCUAAUUAUUGCACUAUUUGUGUAGAUUUCCAAAAGUUAUAUAGGAGUUUUCAAUGAAAAGGAUCUUACUUUGAUUAAAAAUCCCAGUCUCAAUUGUGAAAAUCUGCUGUGCUAUGUGGAUGGCUAAGCUUUUGGUAAUCUCCUAAACUUGGCUGAACUAGCCCAUGAGGCACACUCAGAGUUUACAAUGAGAUAGGUUUUGUCUAUUGGAUAAAUUUGUCCAUUAAGUACAAUUGCCUGUCAAGAAUAUAGAGAAAAAAAAAAACACCUUCCCUUCUAUAGAGAGAAUUACCUAAUAAACCCACUGUUCCUACUUUCUCUGAAGACUUUGAGGUCGAGGAGGCCACUAAUGAUUCCACUUUGACUGCAGAGAUUUGUCUUGGCAGGACUUCUAAAGAAACUCUUAAUCAUCUUCCUGCUUAUGGCUUUACCUGUUUCCUGAGUUUCAGAUCAGGUUGUAGGGUUUCUGAUGCAGACUAUUUAUUAAAGGAGUAGAAUUGUGUCUUCCUUUACUCCUUUGAAGUAAGUAGGGCAGAAAAAAAUUGAUCUUAAAUUCUCAAAAUGCCUUUUUUUUUUUACUUAUAUUUUACUUGAACCUCUGAAAAAGUUUCCUUCUGUUUUGGUGUGUCUUUUCUUCAUAUAACUGGCACCUGUUUCUAGUAUAUGCACCAUGGGAAGAUUGCUUUCAUGGAAAUUAAAUAAUACAAAAUAAGAUUAAAAUAAAAGGUUAAACUUUAAAGUUAGGAUAUAACAGGGAUAUGUAGGAUCAAAUUUAAGAGACAGGGUUGUUUUAAGGUGGGCAAAAAUGUAUUGUACUGAAUUACAUGGCAAUUUUAAAUCUAAAAUAUGAUGUAUAAGUCAGAAGACGGUUGGUGGGUUAAUCAUCCACGAAGACUGAGAAAAAGAAGAAUUAUAGAAGCAAAUGUUGGCAGUGCCUGUCCCAGGCAGCUAAACACUGCCAAUUCCUUGGCUUGGCAUGCCUAUAGUAGGGAAGAAGUUGCUUGUCAAGAAACCACUGGGUGUUUAAAAUGGCUUCAUAUUUAACAGAUAACAUGAUAUGGAUAUCUGGCUCUCUUGACAGCUCUAUUUCUAACAAAUAAUGAAUGACUUGGCUAACUGUCUCUGCCCACAUCAGGUUUCCGAGAUGCAAUGCUGACAGUUAGCUCUUAACCAAAUAUAUUUUCUCUGGUGGUAAGAACGCCAGACAGCAAAUAAAAUUUAGAAUGUCUGGUUACAUUUGAAUUCCAGAUAAACAAUGAAUAAUUUAGAGCAUAGUUAGACUAAAAAAGUAUUCGUUACUUGUCUAAAAUUCAAACUUAACUGGGCUUCCUAUAUUCUGCCUGGUAACUCAACCUGGUGAGAACCUAUGGCAGUGGCCAACUUGCCUAACUUACAAGACAUUGAUUGGUAAUACACCAGUACAAGGUAAUAUUUGAGGGGGAAGAAAUGCCAUAUACACAUAGGGCUUAUGAUUCUUUCCCAUCCGUCAUCUAAUUAGAGCUUCACAAUGAAGCCUGACCUGACCUGGUAUCCAUGACCACCAUGUGUUCAUUAUCAUGAGAACAAUGAGGCCCUCUGACUUCCAAUCCACCCUCUUCACAGCUGACCACCUCUCUUCCUAGAUGUCCUAUUUCACAUCAUUUCGUUAGCUGUAUGCUAAUGCAUUUUAUUUAUUGACUCUUACCUUGAAUGUUCUCUCUGAUCUCACCUUCUGAAAGCCAGUCAUUCCAUUUGCUUCCUGAGUAAUAAGGGCAUAUAUUGAUAGAUAAUACUUUUCAUGGAACUAUAACAAAUAGAAAUUGAGAUUCAGAAAUAAAUAUACCUCCAAGUAAACUUUUGAAUUAAUCAAAUCUUGGUUUGGCACAUUUUGAGUGUGGGUUUUUUUCUAAUUCAGUUCUUCCUUCCCUACCUUUCCCCAAUUACUGAAGGUUCCAAUAAGUAUUACUCCAAUUCCUCUUGCCAAACUUUCUUUCAAGAAAAGUCUCUUUAGCUCAAGUAACCUAAAGUUAAAAAGCACCCACAAUGACCUUAAGUUAAAUUAAUACACAUGGGCAGCUUCUAGGCAAGAAUAAUAUUGUAGUACUUUGCUAUUUAGGGUGGGAUCAUUUCAACUCCUUUGAAACGAUCAGCAUUCAACCACCAUGUAAGAGAGUUCCUGAAAUAUUUGUAAACUUAAAAAAAUUAUUUAGAUAAAUACAUAAACCAGACAGACAAAGAGACAGAAAGAUAAAAGAAUUACAAAGAAGAAGGCAAGGCAGGGAAGCCUGUCUAAAUGGGACGCAUGACACAGAAGAGAACAGUAUGAUUCAGCUGUUUUGCAUGAAGGUUAAAUUAUUAUGCAGCCAACAGGACUACUGAGAAGCAGGACUUGUGUCUUCAGUGUCCAAAUUCUGUCUCUGAUUCUAAUGACUCAUUUUGUGACUGCAUGUAACUUAUUACAUUCUCUUUAUUCUACUCUUACCUGCUGGAAAAGAAAUUAAAUACCAUACAAUUCACAGGCGAUUAUAAUCCUGAGUCAUUAAUUCAAUAAUUUAUAUAGAGAAAAUAUUAUUAGCUGGUAGAGAAGUGGUGACAAAAGUAAUUCUGAAAGGCAUAAUUUGGGAAUCUGGAAACAGCAAUAAAAUAGAAUGUGCAAGGCCAAAAUUUUGGUUUAAAAAAAAAAACACUUGGAAUCAAGAACUUGUGUUCAUGGAGACAUGGAAAAUAGAGAAUGGUUGCAGAGAGCAGGGACAAGUCUAAGCUGUGUUGUGCUGUGUAACAUGCAUAUUCUAGGGACACUGAAACCCCUUCCUACUCUGUUUACCCUCUACUUGCCACACACGUCAUUCUAAUAUGGACGUUAUAUCUUUCUCCUUGCCACCCUAAGCUUAAAACCUUUCCUCGGAUGAUUUGUGCUGAGACAGAAAUAAUUUCAUAAAUUGAAAAGGGUAUUAUUUUAUAAGCUGGCACCAGAGUUUAUUCUGAGAAAAGAAUACAUAUGGCUCAGUGUUUGAGAAAGAAAUGUGAGGCCAGAAAGAAUAGGAAGGAUACAACUAAACUAUUCUUCAAAAAAAAUGAGGUGCUGAGGUGACGGAGAAAUUCAGGAGGCAGGAGAAGAGGAAAACAGACUGGAGAAAAGCCAGUAUCCAAGUUGGCAGAAAAAACAGAUACUUUUAAAAAACUGAGACAGCUAAUAUUCAUUCUUAAGCUGUUCACAUUAUUGUGUUAUAAAACCAGCACACCAAGGCUUUUUAUGUUUUUAUCGUGUGUGGAAAUGAAGAAAAUGGCUAGGCAAACCUACAGUAGGCAGAACACAAAUAGCUGGUGGGCAAAGGUGAGAUGAUCCAUGAAUUGAAUUGAUCCAAAGGAAACAGACUUUUAAACUAGAAGUGACUAAGAAACACAUGAAUAUACCUCACCUCCUCGAGCAUUUCCAGAAUGAUUGGAAAGAAGGAUUUCUAUUACAAACAAAAGGAUUUGAGUCAAUGUUAUUUUCAUCUCUGCAGACUCUAGGAUUUAAUCUGGGCUAGCAGGCCCUUCCCUGGGGCUGUGUGAUGUGAGGUAGACAGCAAGUGACCUGACAUCUCCCUCCUCCCUCCUGCAUCUCCCCAAACAGUUCUCAUCUGAUCUGCUUCUCCUAGUUACAAUUCCAGAAAAGAUUUCCUUUUACCUUUUAAUGCAGCUGAGAAAAAAAUUAUGCUGGAAAGUCAUUCACCUAAAGUCUCACUCUUUACAGAGGUAUUUCUAUUUAAAAUAAAAAGUGAAUAAAAUGAUUGAGGCCUUAUGGAAUAAUUUCAUGAGAAAGUCUUUCUAGAGAGUUGGAGGAAGUUGAAGAAGCGGGAAUGGGUUGGUGCCUGAAGAUAGUAAACUAGGGAAGGAAUUCAUAGUAUAAAGCCUAGAAUUUGAAGUUCUCUCUAAUAGUCCAAGACCUUCCCUCCAGGUGACAUUUUCUAAUGAUAUUUUGAAGAAAGAGAGAAUAGAUUUUUAUUGAGAAAAACUACACAAUUUGAAUUCUAUUGGUAACCUUUAACUUUGUACUCUGCCAUCAGAAUAUCUCAAAGACCUUAAAGCCUAAUAAAAAGAUUAAAAUAUUUAAAUACCGACCACAAAGACAGAAAAAGCAUAGUUUACACUGAGGUUUUUUUCUUUAAAAUAAGAGGCAUUACAUUUUGCUGUGCAAUGCUAAUAAUUUCUUAAAUGGAAUAUAAGAAAGAGGUACCAAGAAACUCUUCUCUUAAGAAAAAGUAAAGUUUUUCACUUAAAAAUUAAGAUUUUAUUCUUAUUUCUUCACUUCCUUAAAAUUACUUUUUAAAAGGUUACUUAAUAUUUUUUAAACUUCCUUUUCAAAGGUGAUACCUUUGAGAACUGAGUUCAGGAUUCUCAAAUUUGUAUUUUAUCAUUUGGUGCUAGGAGAGACCUCCUUUGCUUUAAAAAAAAUGAUUUUUAAUGACAAUCUCACAGCUCAUUUUUAAAUAGCCUCUUUCCGUUUCUGAGGAAUUGCUUUGGAGUUCAAACAAAAUGAGUCACCCAAGGAAAAAAAAUUCACAAGCCAUUUUUAUGCAUUAUACAGAGCAGAAAUUUAAUUUAAUGGCACUGAUAUAGAAGAGCUCCUUCAAGUAGCAAUUUAAGAAAUCUGUUCCUUUACUUUUAUGACAGCAGCAAGUUCUGUUGUCUAUGCACAUGAAAUAACAAUGAAUGGUAAUUGAUCCUGGUGCUCCUAGAAGUGUGGAAAGGGGCUGCUGGUGGCCAGGAAAGGGGGAUCAACCUAAUACCAUAGGGAAAAAUAAUUCUACAAUGUAAUUUGGGGGGUUUCUUUACAGUUCUUCCUCUCUCCUAGCUGGGAUUGGAGCAGUUUCAGUUCUCAUUUUCUUCCUUACCCUCUGCCUUUGAUUUGAAGAAUUUUCCUAUGGGAAAAUAGAGGGCAGCAAGUAAGGAACUUGUAACUAUUGAGACUUCCUUUCAAAAUUUAAACUGUUAUCCCUGUCAUAUAUCUGCUCCCUUCAAGUUGCAGAGAAUUUAGGUUACAGUCUUGAUUUAGGUCCAGAUGAGCCCUUUGU
rnacentral:lncRNA from 1 species